GACGAGAAGCUUGCUUCUCUGAUGUUAGCGGCGGACGGGUGAGUAACACGUGGAUAACCUACCUAUAAGACUGGGAUAACUUCGGGAAACCGGAGCUAAUACCGGAUAAUAUUUUGAACCGCAUGGUUCAAAAGUGAAAGACGGUCUUGCUGUCACUUAUAGAUGGAUCCGCGCUGCAUUAGCUAGUUGGUAAGGUAACGGCUUACCAAGGCAACGAUGCAUAGCCGACCUGAGAGGGUGAUCGGCCACACUGGAACUGAGACACGGUCCAGACUCCUACGGGAGGCAGCAGUAGGGAAUCUUCCGCAAUGGGCGAAAGCCUGACGGAGCAACGCCGCGUGAGUGAUGAAGGUCUUCGGAUCGUAAAACUCUGUUAUUAGGGAAGAACAUAUGUGUAAGUAACUGUGCACAUCUUGACGGUACCUAAUCAGAAAGCCACGGCUAACUACGUGCCAGCAGCCGCGGUAAUACGUAGGUGGCAAGCGUUAUCCGGAAUUAUUGGGCGUAAAGCGCGCGUAGGCGG
rnacentral:rRNA from 1 species